rnacentral:rRNA from 1 species
ACGGGAGGCAGCAGUGGGGAAUAUUGGGCAAUGGGCGAAAGCCUGACCCAGCGACGCCGCGUGAAGGAAGACGGUCUUCGGAUUGUAAACUUCUUUUAUAAGGGACGAUAGUGACGGUACCUUAUGAAUAAGCCACGGCUAACUACGUGCCAGCAGCCGCGGUAAUACGUAGGUGGCGAGCGUUAUCCGGAUUUACUGGGUGUAAAGGGUGUGUAGGCGGGACUGCAAGUCAGAUGUGAAAACUAUGGGCUCAACUCAUAGCCUGCAUUUGAAACUGUGGUUCUUGAGGGUCGGAGAGGUAACUGGAAUUCCUGGUGUAGCGGUGAAAUGCGUAGAUAUCAGGAGGAACACCGGUGGCGAAGGCGGGUUACUGGACGAUUACUGACGCUGAGACACGAAAGCGUGGGUAGCAAACAGGAUUAGAUACCCUGGUA